rnacentral:tRNA from 1 species
ACCUUACUAGCUCAUUGGCAGAGCACCGGCUUGAAAACCCGGGGGACGUGGUUCGAUUCCACGGUUUGGUAC